UUAAACGUGAUUCGAGUCCCAUCACUAUGAAAUCAUGUCUAAAAUAAAACCCUAAAAAGCGACUUGCGAAGAGUUCUCUUUACUAUGUAAUAAAUUUGAUAAGAAAAAAAGAGAUGUGAUUUUCUAUCAAAAACAAGAGUGUUUACGUGAAAUAUCUGAGUGCAUUGGUAACAUGGAUGAUGUCAGGGACGGGAACUCGGAUAUGUGUGGAUGUUGAAGAGACAAACCUCUUUAGAGUUUAAGAGGGUUUUUCUUCUAAUUUCAUCUUUGAUUUGAUUCUAUUUUUUGAUAGAUUUUGUUUUAACAUUCAUGUCAUGUCUCUGCCUCUCAUCCUAUAUGUAACUUAAAAUAAAAUAACUUUUAUUUUAUUGAGUGCUCCGUUCUUUCAAUUAAACCACUACUCUGCUUAAUUAGUAUAUCUUUCCAAACCUAGAGGUAUACUAAUAGGUUAUGGACCGCAAAAACGAUGGACGGACACGGAGAUCAAGUUCAUGGAUUAUGUUAUAUUAUAUGAUAUUGGGUCACUUAUGUACUUUACAUUAUGUACAGUUUGCACAAGGCCGGAUAUUAGUUAUGCAGUAACUAAUCUAAGCCAGUUAAACAGCUGUUACACGGAGUAACAUUAGGUAGCUGCUAAAAGAGAGCUGAGGUACUUAAAAUGUACAAAGAGCUUUGGUCUUAGAUACGAGUCAUCUGAUACAGCCAAAGUUGUUAGUUAUGCAGAUGCAAGCCACGGAUCUACCUAUGAUCGAAAGUCAUUUGGUGGAGUAGUGUUCAAAUGGACAGGAGCUGCAAUCUCAUGGGAAUGCAAAAAGCAAAGGACUGUUGCGCUCUCAACUGCGGAAGCUGAGUAUGUGGCUCUAUCUGAAGCAGCUAGAGAGGCAAUAUUUCUAAGAAGAUUCAUAACUCAUAGCAUCUACUCUGGAACCAAUGACAGUCUACAGUGAUAGUCAGUCUGCUGUUGCAAUUGCACAAAAUCCUGUGCAUCAUCAACAUACUAAACAUAUUGAUGUGCGCCACCAUUUUAUAAAAGAAGCAGUUGAGGAUGGUAUUAUUCAGCUUGAGUAUGUAGAGACAGCUUGUAUGGCAGCUGAUGCGUUGACCAAACCUCUGGCGAAUGGUCAAGACUAUGUCAAAUUGUCAAGUCAGUUCAAUGUAUGCGCAUUGCGCUAGUGUCGCACGCUACAAGACAGCGUGAGAGACCUUAGCCCAACUUAACACGCGGGGGCGAGAAGGAGGAAAGAAGCUGUAGUAUAUACAUAAGUUACGUUGACUUUUUAGGGCUUACCUUGCAUCCUAUUUUGAAUAUAAAUCUAUUUCUAAAAAAAGAUUUACGGACAUAAAUAAUGCAUUUUUGUUUUAUUUUCAUAACUAGCUAUAAUACCCGGCUUCGCCCGGGAGUUGAUAUAAGAUUACACGGUAGGUGAAAUAAAAAAAAAAACUUUGACGCGAUAUUAAAAAAAAUUAUUGAAAACAUUCGCUCAUUGUUUACACUAUUUGCUUAUAAACAACAUUUUUCAUUUUAUUGUCUGGAGUAUUAUAUAAUAUAGAUUUUUCGGAAUUCCUACCCUUGAGCAAGCUACAUAUAGCUGACCGUGAGAGAAGCAGGGUUCUUUGAGGUUAAUGCCACAAUAUUUUAAAGUUUGUCUUUGCGCCUUGUUAAUUGUAAAACUAAAAGCUAAUUUAAUUGGAAAUUGCAGUCUUUUAAAUUGAAAUGACAAUAGGACAGUAAUCGAAAAAAAAUCUAAGUUGUGUUUUAAAAUAAAGUUUGUUAUACAAGAACAUCACUAAAUAAAUAUUUUUAAAAAAUAACAAUGAUUUAUAAUUUUAAAUCAAUAAAUAAAGUUGCAUAAAUCCAAUAUUUUUUAUCUGUGCAGCGUAAGAACCCAAACACCAAUCACAGUGGGUGACGUCAUACGUAAUGAGUGAUAAGUAAACAACACUGCUUUGUAUGUUAUUUCGAGUUAUUCUACGAUUUAUUUGCAUUUUUCAAAAAAUAUUUAAUUGUAAUUAGUUACGAAUUGAAGGACUUUAUUCAUAACAGAAGUUGUCGCAAGUGCUUGAAGCCGCCUAUUAAGUUUUUAUCAUGGAACAAGGUUACAAGCCGACAAUAGAAAUCUCCCAUAAGAUUGAUAUUUUCAUGGUCGGCAGUUUCUUUGCCACUAAUUCCGACUUAGUAUUGCUGAAUUUAGAAAUGUGAAAACAUUUAUGUAAGUAUUUCGACCUCUUUUUGUUUAUCUUAACAACAGAAAUGAUUGAAGAAAAAA